rnacentral:lncRNA from 1 species
UCUUGUUCAUCUUUUUUCUCCAAGAAUGCAAGGUGCAAUUGACAUUCUCCACUAGGUAAGUCUUCCUUACUUUAUGCCUCUUCAUGCUAGCCAUUCACCAUACUUAAGCUCAUUCAUCUUCAUCUGGAAGAUCCACUCUUGAAGUGGAUCAUAGAGCUAGGCUCAUAAUUUUAUGUAUAGCUUUGUUUGAAUGAUGUACGAUUUUGUUUGAACUCGUAUGUUCAUGCUCAUUUAUCUCCACGCUCCUUUGUC